rnacentral:rRNA from 1 species
CCUACGGGGGGCAGCAGUGAGGAAUAUUGGUCAAUGGGCGGAAGCCUGAACCAGCCAAGUCGCGUGAGGGAAUAAGGCCCUACGGGUCGUAAACCUCUUUUGCCGGGGAGCAAGGGCGGGGACGUGUCCCGGCCCGGAGAGUACCCGGAGAAAAAGCAUCGGCUAACUCCGUGCCAGCAGCCGCGGUAAUACGUAGGGAGCAAGCGUUGUUCGGAAUGACUGGGCGUAAAGGGUGCGUAGGCGGUUAUACAAGUUAGAAGUGAAAUACCCAGGGCUUAACUCGGGUGCUGCUUCUAAAACUGUAAGACUUGAGUGAAGUAGAGGUUAGUGGAAUUCCUAGUGUAGCGGUGGAAUGCGUAGAUAUUAGGAGGAACACCAGAGGCGAAGGCGGCUAACUGGACUGCAACUGACGCUGAGGCACGAAAGUGUGGGGAGCAAACAGGAUUAGAUACCCUUGUAGUC